UGUGUCUCAUGUCUUUUGCAGUGUCUUGCAUAUGACACGUAAAAACACGGUGCUCAAUUUAAAAUUCAACUUUAAAAACACGUCUUGAGGCCUUGCAUUUUUUCCCAUUCCAUUUGGUGCUCCUCGAGUUUUUCAAAGCAAAAGCAUUUUCUGUGUGAAUGGCCCCUAACAGCUACAUUUACUGUAUAUUUACUAUACAUAACUGCAAUUUUCACAAUGUAUUUUCAGCAGCGUUAAAUGUAAUGUCCACUUCUGAAACAACAACAUACAAUUAAAAAUUUUCUGGUUAUUCUAGACAAUUUUAAAUUUGAGAAAUAAUUCCCUUCUGAAAAAAGAUUCCCUUUGCAAUAUGUUCUUUUUACAUUUGUAGAUGUCCAAUCCAAGACAAGCCUGUCAACCAGCAAAGCAAAGAAAACCCAGACGUUAAAUGUAAUGUCCACUUCUGAAACAACAACAUACAGUAAAACUGUAGACUUUCAGUCUACAUCAAACCUGCCAACCAGCACAGCAACGAAAACCAUGGAACUAUGGUAUAUAGUGCUGGGUUCCACUGGCGUUGCUGUAAUUUUGUCUGGACUCAUCUGUUUCUGUCGGUUUGCAAGUAAAAAAAGAAGAAAACUAAACAAAACAAGAUCAAACAAACCUGAUGUGACCAGUCAAGAGAUUGGUAUGGUGAGUAUCACUAUAACAUUUACAAUAAUAA
ensembl:lncRNA